CAUGGAAGGUCUUUAGCAAGUGCACGCUUGGGAGCUGAGUUCCUGUUGCUUGGAGUACUCUCCCAGGAGGAGAAGAGUAGCCACAGUUGAUGGAAGAGCAGCCUCACUGACCUUACCAUAUGGAAGACACCGCGCUCACGAGGUUCUUAAAGAUUGCCGGUCUAAGCUACACGAAUAGGAACAGUGCCUGAAUCACCAUUCAGUUGAUUGGAGAUCACUGGAGUGCAGCAAUUCCCUGCACUGCCAAAGGAUCGCUGGGAAAGAGGAAGCAAGGGGAACAAGAUUUAAGGGGGGAUAGCUCUGUGAGAGAAUUAUGAUUUACUGGCUACUUCGCAAGUGUUAGGUGACUCGCUCUCAGUCAAAUGAAGAUUGAGCUAAAAAAUCCCAUUGACUGUCUAG